GCUCUUGCAUAGCUCAGUCGGUAGAGCGUGAGACUCUUAAUCUCUGGGUUUGGGGUUAGAGCCCCAUGUUGGGCA